rnacentral:rRNA from 1 species
UGAGUAACGCGUGAGGAACCUGCCUCAAAGAGGGGGACAACAGUUGGAAACGACUGCUAAUACCGCAUAAGCCCACGGCUCGGCAUCGAGCAGAGGGAAAAGGAGUGAUCCGCUUUGAGAUGGCCUCGCGUCCGAUUAGCUAGUUGGUGAGGUAACGGCCCACCAAGGCGACGAUCGGUAGCCGGACUGAGAGGUUGAACGGCCACAUUGGGACUGAGACACGGCCCAG